AUAUCUGGUUAUACCCUCUUGUAAUUACUGUGACUCGUCUGGUCCAUGAAGUUGAGUAGGAGAGCGACUAGUUAGUAUCAGGGUGUGAGACUACCUGAGAAUCCUAGUGUCUGUUUUUU
rnacentral:rRNA from 1 species